UCUGAUCCAAUGUGAAGCAAUGUUUCCCUGUGUCACGUGCCAAGCCUUGCUAUUACUAGCCUUUCUGAUUGAUAUAUGUGUAUGAUCCUUGCCUGUUUUCCUGAUUCUACGGUUCCCGGUCUCUGUUUUGGUUUUGGUUUUGGUUGCUUAGUUAUUUGCUUUUCUGGUUUUUGAUCCUUUGCCUGAUCCACAUAUGGAUUCUACCUCUCCUGUGUCCAGUGAGUCCUUACAGUGCUGUGGUGUUUGGUGUGUUGUGGAAGCAGGGGGUGUGGACCUCUGCAAUUAAAAAAAGAGCUUGAACCAUGAACAUGCUUGACCUAAAAGAUGAUCUCUUCACCAUAACUGAUUUGUUUUUUGCUUUGCUUUAUGUAUUUAGCAACAGCAGUAGAAUAUUUACUUCACUGUAGGAUAUUUACUUCACUGUGAGCCUUUUUAGGCAAGUCCUGUACUGAAGAAAUAAUUUCUUAAAGUCUUGCCAGCAGCUAUUUACUGUUAAAAUGUACUUUGACAGGAGUUACAGAGUUGUACAGUAUUUUGUAAAAUUAGUGUAAAUUUAGUGUAAACAACCUAACGCUGCUUCAGUCCAAAUCCAAACAUCAUAAACUUUGAGAAAAAUGUCACGAUACAGAGUACAGGAGUCACAAGUUCAUCCGAUUAUUCAAGUUCAAGUCGUCCUCCUGGUCCUCCAUUUUGUUAAACGUUACAUUUUACAUGCAUAAAUGUACUGAUAUACUUAAAAACAGAAUUUCAUUCUUCAGGUAACAGGGUGGAGUGGACAUUUCCAUGUAACAGCACAGUCUGGAGUCCUAUACCAUAGUGAGUUUGUCAAAUGGUUAACAGUUACAUUCUCUGCCCUGAAGAUUUUCCUGAGUUGAGAAACUUUGACUGUAAAACCUGAGACUCCUUUCAUAAAUAUUAAGUAAAUAUUUUAGGAUAGAUUCAUCACCCGUUCGACCGCUGUAAAGGGGCUAAUGCUGGAGCUGAGGGGUUACUAACUCCACCUUAGGUAUCCAGAUUUUCCCCUACAGGCACUACACUGCUUGCAUUAUCACUAAGCCUCUCUAGAGUCUGGAUUGCUCACCUCUAAAGCUGUAAUGUUUUCCUACUAAAUGCUAACUAACAUAAUUCAUUUGUGUCUUCAGUACAGUGAAUAAAGUGAAUUCCUAUAAAUAUGGUAUUUCAGUUUGGUAAUGUAAUUAAAAAAUUUAUUUGAUUACAAAGACAGCCUUCUUCCAUCUUAGAAAUAUUGCCAAGCUUAGGAACAUUUUAUCUGUAUCUGAUGCAGAAAAGCUAGUUCAUGCAUUCCUGACCUCCAGACUGGACUACUGUAAUGCAUUACUAGGUGUUUGUCCUGCAUCUUCAACUAGCUACAGUUAGUCCAGAAUGCAGCCGCCAGAGUUCUUACCAGGUCAAGAAAAUUUGAUCAUAUAACCCCAAUAUUAUCAUCCCUGCACUGGCUACCUCCUUCUUAUAAAUUCAAAAUCAAAACCACUUAACAUGUUAAUGUAAGAAAAUCUGAAGGUUAGGAGAAAGUGUUUACUUGAUGUAUAAUGUGAUACUGCUCACUAGAAUUCCUCUCAUAUUUGCUAUCUUUCACACUUCAUAACGCAGCGUGGACUCUUUGUUUGACCUUGACCUUUAGUGCUUUCUAGUUUUCCAUGUUUCAGUGUUUGUAGGUUAGAACAAACUUUCUGGAAGAUUAUAUGAGAAAUAUUUUACAUUCUCUGACUGCCAUCAGCCAUUUUUCUUGUCCAUGGGGGAUUUUUUUCACUGUGGCUGUUAUCACUGCUAGCUUUGUUGGUUAGUUUUGUAUCUUAUGUUAGCUACAUCUGAAAUAUCAGAUAUCAAUGUUUAUACUUGAUACAGUUCUCAUUUUAAUGUAGUCAGUUACUCUUUAUAUUAUUACAAAGAACAGUCAAUCUUGUGGAAAGGUAAAAUAUCAAAGUGUACAGUAGCAGACUGCAAUAAAAUCACAUGAGUAAUUGUAACAGUCUGAUUUGUCUUGUACAUUAGUGUGAAAUAAUACAUGCUCUAGUUGGUUGAUGUCUGAAAGUCCACAGCGAUUGUGAAAACCAGGAGGAUGGGAACUUACACCUCAGGUUUAUUUAAAGCAGGAAAGAUAAAGUAGUGGGAUCAGAACUGGUACACAGGCAAAGCUCAGAGACUCCUUUCUCCUUGACUUCGCUAUCAAACAUUAAAGAUAUUUCUAGAUCCUGCAGAAUGAAGAUGACGAUCCUGUUCCUGACUCUGGUUCUUGCCUUGAUGCUGAUGAGCGGUUCUUCUCUGAAAUGCAACAGGUGUUUCACUCUUGUGGGUGAAAAAUGUAAAUCUGUGCCUGAACCCUGCCUUGGGGAAGAUGCCUGUGUCUCUUCUGUAAUGAAGAAACAAUCCU